UUCAACGCAACGAAACAAAUUCGAAAAUAAUUUAUUAUUGCAAUAUUAUAAACAACAAAAAUGUUUUCAUUAUAUACAUGAAAAUGAAAUAGUGUGUCUGCGUAUGUGUGUUUCAUAUAGUUAUCUGUGUUGCGGCAAAGCACGUGUGUGUUGUUGUUGAGCAAGAAUUGCGCCAUUUUUGCGCGCAGAAAACGCCUGAAAACGCAAUUGAAUUUUAUGAUAAUAUUCGAAUUUUUUCAAUAUUUAGUUGGUGCUCUUAUUUAUUUAUAAUUUUUUAAAAACAUGCUGUGCCCAUAAUUGAUGUUAUUUAUAAACACAACAACGCGGCGCAAUGUUUUAAGAUCCAAACAAAAAAUAAAUAAAGAAACAUAUUCGAAAAUCGAAAAUCAACGCUAAAAGGCAAACGGAACAGCUGCGGAAAAUGCUGUGAAAAAAACCAACGUCAGAACACACUCGGCAAAUUGUGCUCAAAUACGGACGGCAAAAGACAACACACAAAGUAAACUCGCACCUAGCGUAUAUUAUGCCCGCUAAAAUCAAUAACUCAGCCGUGUACCGAGUCGCAGUCGCAGCUAAUAUAAACAACCUAAGUCAACAAAAGCCCAGAGCAUGAGCAUGGUGAGCCGGACGGAAAAGGAUUACGACAGCGCGACGCCGGCGCUGCAACAACAAAUGAACCUCGCCCGGCGCGCCUGCUGGAGCAGCUGCCCGACCAGACCCAGCUCCAGUUCAAGUCCAAGUUCCCUUAAUGCUAUAGAAAUUCAAUUGCCCGUGGCAACAGCUUGUCAGCCGGCUAAGCCAAUGACUCCUAAUCAAAGCGUGCUCCGUCUGCCACCCGCACCACCAAGAACAACAACAACAACAACCCAAUCUCCACCGAGCAAACGGCCAAGAUUCAGUCCGGGCGGCAGCUGGCAGCGGCAACUGUUGCUGCUGCUGUGCGGCAUUUGCAUUUUGCUGACCAGCAUCGAGGCACGUCCCAAUGUUAGCGCCUCCAGCAGCAGCUCCAGCUCCAGCUCCAGUUCCGCCUCCAGCGCCAAGCCAGCGGAUGCCGUCACGCAGCUAAACCUGCCUCAGACGACAGCGGCACCAGCAUCAACAGCUGCUUCUCCGGCUCUGCCCAAAGCCGAACCGCUGACGGGUGAUGCGAAGAUUGAGAAGGAUUUGUUCGAUGUGUCGCUCGACGAUGAGACGGACGAGGCACAUCAUCACACGGAACGUUAUCCGCUCUCCCAGGUGGACUUUGCGCGGGUCAAGACGCCGUUCAUAAUUGGCAUUUGGAUACUUUCGGCGAGCAUAGCCAAAAUCGGUUUUCACAUGACGCCCAAAUUGCAUCUGAUAUUUCCGGAAUCCUGUCUACUUAUCGUUGUGGGCGUGGCCAUAGGCGUUGUUCUCUAUUUCUGCACAGAUGUUGCCGUCUCGCCGCUGACACCGAACACGUUCUUCUUUUACAUGCUGCCGCCGAUAAUAUUGGACGCGGGCUACUUUAUGCCGAAUCGCAUGUUCUUCGAUAAUCUGGGCACCAUCCUGCUGAUGGCCGUGGUUGGCACCAUCUUCAAUGUGGCCACAAUUGGUGGCUCCCUUUACGCGUGUGGGCUGUGCGGCGUCUUUGGCGAUGAGACGCCCAAGUUGUUGGACGUCUUUCUGUUUGCCUCGCUAAUAUCCGCCGUCGACCCGGUGGCUGUGCUUGCCGUAUUCGAGGAAAUACACGUCAACGAGAUCCUCUACAUUGUCGUCUUUGGCGAGUCCCUGCUCAACGAUGCCGUCACGGUUGUCAUGUAUCACAUGAUGGAGGUCUAUAAUGAGAUCGGAUUGCCCAACAUUAUGGCGCAGGACAUUGCCAGCGGCGUGGGCUCGUUUUUCGUUGUGGCCCUGGGCGGAACUGCCAUAGGCAUUAUUUGGGGCUUCCUGACGGGUCUGCUAACACGUUUUACGGAUCAUGUGCGUGUCAUAGAGCCCAUAUUUAUUUUUGUUAUGGCCUAUCUGGCAUAUCUAAAUGCUGAAAUCUUUCACAUGAGCGGCAUUCUGGCCAUUACUUUCUGCGGCAUUACGAUGAAGAACUAUGUGGAGUCGAAUAUAUCGCAAAAGUCGCAUACAACUGUUAAAUAUGCGUUGAAAAUGUUAUCCAGUUCGGCGGAGACGAUUAUAUUUAUGUUCCUAGGCGUGGCCACCGUCAACAAUAUGCACGUAUGGAAUACGUGGUUUGUGAUCCUAACCAUUGCCUUCUGCUCCAUAUUUCGUGUUAUCGGUGUCAUUCUGCUGUCGGCCAUUGCCAAUCGCUUUCGACUGCACAAAUUGUCGCGAGUGGAUCAGUUUGUCAUGUCGUACGGUGGCUUGCGGGGCGCCGUUGCCUUUGCCCUCGUCCUGCUCGUCGAUGAGAAUGUGGUCAAGCAUAAGAAUAUGUAUGUGACCACAACCAUAGCUGUGAUCUACUUUACGGUGUUUGUGCAAGGCAUCACCAUAAAGCCACUUGUCAAGAUUCUUAACGUGAAGCGAGCCAACAAGCGGAAGCCCAGCAUGAACGAGCGAAUUCACGAGCGUUUUAUGGAUCACUUGAUGGCUGGCAUUGAGGAUAUUGUGGGCAAGACGGGCAACUACAAUGUGCGUGAUAAGUUCAAGCGUUUCGACAAUCGCUUCAUACGCCCCCUGCUGAUCAGAGAUCUAAAGGGCGCCGAACCCAAAAUUAUUGAGACCUACUCCAAGCUGACCAUGCGGGAUGCCAUGGAGGUGAUGCGUCGUAAUCCGUCGACAAUUGGCCAGAUGACGGGCACCGAGUCGAUGAGUGCAUUGUUUAGGAAUUAUACCAAUAAUUAUAUUGGCGGCAGGUGGGCACCGCCAACCAUAUACACCACCUGUCCCAGCCUGACAAAUCUGGACAACUCGUGCUCCCACAACUUGGACAUGGCCGAACUGGACUAUAAUCCAUCCAAAAAGGAUUUGACAGAUGCCAAGAUACACCAUCUGCUGGCCGAAGAACUAAAGCCAUAUAGAAGGGCUUCCAUACAAAUGCACCGUCGUCUUAGUUAUAGCCGACACGCAGUAGAUGACAGAGAUUUGUCCACACAGGUCAAUUAUAAAAUGCAAAUGAAUUUCCGUCGCAUGUUCAACGAUCGGAAACAUCACAAGCGCAGCAAACGUGGCGCCAGCAACAAGGAGCCCAAAGAGAAUGUUAAACAGAAUCAUGUCUCGUUCCAUGAUUUCCAACAGAACGGCACCACCAAGCAGCUCUCCAAUGCCGAGGAAUGCCCGCAGAAUCCGAAUGAGAUCAAUGUGAUUGGACCCAGCGACGAUUGGGACGACGGUCUCACAUUUACCGCAAAAUCAUCACCUGACUCGGAUCGCGCCAAUAAUAACUCCCUGAUAGCGCAUAUUCAAAACCUGCCCGGUUUCGAUGCAUCCAAGGCGCGCAUCGUUCAGCAUUAUGCGCCCAAGCUCGACGACGAUCAGCAAGAUCUAGACUCGCCCGAUCCGUCAGUUGGACCCACAGCGGCCGAACUGAUCCUGCCCUGGCGACGGGAUCGUUCAUACCAGAGCAUUGUGGCCGAGCAUCCGAUACCCGAAGAGGAUCGCAAUUUGUCGCGCGACUCGGAUGGCGAACGUCGAGUGGCCACGCCCACAGCUACCGAAUCGCAGCUGCCAUGGAAGCGAGGAGGCGACGAGUCGACGGACGCAGUGCAGCAGAAUGAAUUCCCCGCCUGGGCCUCGAACAAGGAGUAUUUGGCCUACAAUUCGCCAAGCGCCACGUUUUUAGGUGGUAUAAACAAGCCUAAACAGCCCAAGUCCGUCAUAGGUCUGUUCCGUCGCGAGAGUUCCAGCUCGAAGGCCGGCAGCCUCGGCAGCGGCGCCGUGGACGCCGCAAGCGCCAGCCAGGAUCUGAUGGUUGUGCCCACAAUAAAUGCCAUCAAUCCGUUGAUUCAGCUGCCAUCGACAUCGAUGCACAAUCCCCGGCUGGACAAUCGAUCGCAGUCCAUAUCGUCCGGCACGUUGGGCGCCCAUUUGGUCGGCCCGGACGGACAUACGGGUCCGUUUCCGGUCACGGCGAGCCAUCGCCGUAACGUGCGACGCGGUUCAAUGCUGGAGCUUAGCGGCGCCGUUUCCAUUGAGUCCGUGUAGCUGUAUAGUCCACAGACAAACGCAUCAAUCACUUAGUAAACACACACCACACAUAAAUAAUAUACAAAAAUAUAUACACAAAAUAUUUGAACAGUAGUCGAGCUGUUAUGAAAGUCUAGUAUAUGUUGGCUUUUGGCUCAUAAAUAUAUAUACUUAUAUAUUCAUAAAUAUGUCGACACAAUACCCGAGGAGUCCAGCUACCAGCACGGCCACUCCAAGUCCCUCUGCGAGCC
rnacentral:misc_RNA from 1 species